rnacentral:tRNA from 1 species
GCCUGGGUGGCUCAGUCGGUUGAGCAUCCGACUUCAGCUCAGGUCAGGAUCCCGGGGUUCGUGGGUUCGAGCCCCGCGUCGGGCU